rnacentral:rRNA from 1 species
CCUACGGGAGGCAGCAGUAGGGAAUCUUUCACAAUGGGCGAAAGCCUGAUGGAGCAACGCCGCGUGCAGGAUGAAGGCCUUCGGGUUGUAAACUGCUUUUAUAAGCGAGAAAUAUGAUGGUAACUUAUGAAUAAGGAUCGGCUAACUACGUGCCAGCAGCCGCGGUCAUACGUAGGAUCCGAGCAUUAUCCGGAGUGACUGGGUGUAAAGAGUUGCGUAGGUGGCAUAAUAAGUAGCUAGUGAAAUCUGGUGGCUCAACCAUUCAGACUAUUAGCUAAACUGUUAAGCUCGAGACCGUUAGGGGUAAGUGGAAUUUCUGGUGUAGGAGUGAAAUGCGUAGAUAUUAGAAAGAACACCGAUAGCGUAGGCAGGUUACUGGGACGGUACUGACACUAAGGCACGAAAGCGUAGGGAGCAAACGGGAUUAGAUACCCCUGUAGUC